rnacentral:lncRNA from 1 species
CGGUAAAAUACCCGUACCAUCAAAUAAGCCUUGAACUUCCACUUCCACUUCUUGAAGGGAGAGCACACUACCGCUAGUUCUUUGGAAUCUGAUUAAGCAUUUGAUCUUGGCGCUGUUCUCUCUCUAUCAAUCCAGUCUUCCAGCUACCCGGUGCUCUUCUCUGGUCUUCCACUCUGGUAUUACUAUUAAUGGUCUUCAACUCUGGUAUUCGACUUCUAGUAUUCUACUUCUAAGUGGUCCAGGGCUUCUGCCGCGCUACUACUCAAUCAUUAGCCAGGAAUUGCUUCCCUACCCG